CUAGCGACUUCUAGAGUUUGAUCCUGGCUCAGGAUGAACGCUAGCGGCAGGCUUAACACAUGCAAGUCGAGGGGCAGCGUGAGGGUUAGCAAUAACCCUUGACGGCGACCGGCGCAAGGGUGCGUAACGCGUGAGCAACUUGCCCUUAUCAGGGGGAUAACCGGUGGAAACGCCGACUAAUACCCCAUGGCAUUGAGUUGAGGCAUCUCUACUCAAUUAAAGAGUUUCGGAUAAGGAUAGGCUCGCGUGACAUUAGCUAGACGGCGGGGUAACGGCCCACCGUGGCUACGAUGUCUAGGGGUUCUGAGAGGAAGGUCCCCCACCACUGGAACUGAGACACGGUCCAG
rnacentral:rRNA from 1 species